AGAGAGGUUUGGGAUUAAUCCAUAAACUUUAACAUGAAAAGGAAUGAAAUGUCACCCGAUUUCUAAAGGCCGGAAGAAUUUGUGAGGGUCUGGUUGUUUGAAUCUCCCGGCCAAUGAGAGAUAAUUUUAGCUCCUGCAGUACUUCUGCUUUUAAAAUGGGAGCAGUAACUGGAAUAGGGGGAAGAGAAAGGCCUGAGUGUCUAGAAAGGCUUCCUCAGAGGGGGGUUCCCCAGAUGGCGGUGGGGGGGCGGGCAAGGAAGUGGCUUGUCUCCUCUGCUUCCUGCAGGAUGCCAGACUAGAGGUUACAACUCUGCAAUUUAGCAUCAUACUCCUCGUGGGCAUUUGUAAUGGGGGGGGGGAGGAACAGGAGGGAGGGAGGCACAGGUGAAAGGCAAUAGGAGUGCAUGGCAGGGGGCUGAGUACUUUUCCUUUUGACUCCCCAGGACACGUAUUAAGAGGAAAGGGAAUUGUCCAGCUCAUCUCAGAAGGGCAUCUGUACCUCUGGGGCCAGUUUCAAGCAGUAAAAGCUGACCAGCUACAAAGUCAGGGGAGACCUAUGAAGCUAUGAAAAUGAGAUACCUGGAGUUCCCGUCGUGGCACAUGGUUAACAAAUCUAAGAACCAUGAGGUUUCGGGUUUGAUCCCUGGCCUUGCUCAGUGGGUUAAUGAUCCGGCGUGGCUGUGAGCUGUGGUGUAGGUUACAGACGCAGCUCAGAUCGCACGUUGCUGUGGGUCGGGCGUAGGCCGGGGGCUACAGCUCCGAUUGGACCCCUAGUCUGGGAACCGCCAUAUGCCGCAGGAGCUGCCCACGGAAUGGCAAAAAGACAAAAAAAAAAAAAAAAAAAAAAAAAAAAAAAAAAGAAAGAAAGAAAGAAAAUGAGACCUGAUGCCAUUUGCCUGGACCUUCCUUCACCUGCAGGGAGGAAGGGCAGGAAGGAUGAGCUAAAGGCAGGGAGAUGAUAUCACAGCCUCUAGGCAACCAAUCCCAGCUGGGGUCUCCCUGCUCUUCCUCAGGGGUCCUGGACUCCACACGCAGAGCCCACCUGUCUGACUGCAGGUUCUUGGAUUGAUUCCGCCCAG
rnacentral:lncRNA from 1 species